AAAAGUAGCUUGCUACUUAACCUAGCGGCGGACGGGUGAGUAAUGCUUAGGAAUCUGCCUAUUAGUGGGGGACAACAUCUCGAAAGGGAUGCUAAUACCGCAUACGUCCUACGGGAGAAAGCAGGGGACCUUCGGGCCUUGCGCUAAUAGAUGAGCCUAAGUCGGAUUAGCUAGUUGGUGGGGUAAAGGCCUACCAAGGCGACGAUCUGUAGCGGGUCUGAGAGGAUGAUCCGCCACACUGGGACUGAGACACGGCCCAGACUCCUACGGGAGGCAGCAGUGGGGAAUAUUGGACAAUGGGGGGAACCCUGAUCCAGCCAUGCCGCGUGUGUGAAGAAGGCCUUUUGGUUGUAAAGCACUUUAAGCGAGGAGGAGGCUACCGAGAUUAAUACUCUUGGAUAGUGGACGUUACUCGCAGAAUAAGCACCGGCUAACUCUGUGCCAGCAGCCGCGGUAAUACAGAGGGUGCAAGCGUUAAUCGGAUUUACUGGGCGUAAAGCGCGCGUAGGUGGCCAAUUAAGUCAAAUGUGAAAUCCCCGAGCUUAACUUGGGAAUUGCAUUCGAUACUGGUUGGCUAGAGUAUGGGAGAGGAUGGUAGAAUUCCAGGUGUAGCGGUGAAAUGCGUAGAGAUCUGGAGGAAUACCGAUGGCGAAGGCAGCC
rnacentral:rRNA from 1 species